GGUGCCUUGAGCCAUCCUAGGAGGCAUCCCAAGUAACAACAUUAAGAACGUAUAAAUGUUUGAACUGUGCAGACUUCUUGUUGUGAGAAAAAAAGCCUGCAGCCAAUGAGAUAGAAAUGGAGAGAAGGGCAAUAGCAGCUUGCACACGUCAAGGAUCUGCAGCGCAUGAAACCCCUUAAACUGAAGAUGAUGUUCCUGAAGCCUAGAGAUGUCAGCACUCGCAGUCAGCCGCUUUAUCAUCCAUUGCUCCAUUAACCUCAUCCACCUGGUCAACACAAUUCAAACAUACCAGGUAAUGGUAAAUUUAGAAAUGGGCUGAAUUGACCAUUUGAACAUGUUGCGUCAUUUAAUUUGAAUAACAAACGUUACAGCAAUUAAACCCAAAGAAUAAUAUGUUUAUUAACUGGAUAUUUAAUUCCUAACAAGUUUAACAUGUUAAACAACCAUGAGCUUGUGCAAUACAUUAAAUGUUGACUGAACAUUACAAAUCAUAUAAUUUAAUUAUUCAACUAAUGGACUGGUUUAUUGUUUAGUCAUUUAGUCUUAUGCGAUGGUAGUGUGUACGUAGUAUGUGCCUCCGUGCGUCUGUAAACAAUUCCUC